rnacentral:rRNA from 1 species
UUAUUUCGGUAAACACCAAGUGGCGAACGGGUGAGUAACGCGUAAGCAAUCUACCUUCAAGAUGGGGACAACACUUCGAAAGGGGUGCUAAUACCGAAUGAAUGUAAGAGUAUCGCAUGAGACACUUACUAAAGGAGGCCUCUGACAUAAGCUUCCGCUUGAAGAUGAGCUUGCGUCUGAUUAGCUAGUUGGUGAGGGUAAAGGCCCACCAAGGCGACGAUCAGUAGCCGGUCUGAGAGGAUGAACGGCCACAUUGGGACUGAGACACGGCCCAGACUCCUACGGGAGGCAGCAGUGGGGAAUCUUCCGCAAUGGGCGAAAGCCUGACGGAGCAACGCCGCGUGAACGAUGAAGGUCUUAGGAUCGUAAAGUUCUGUUGUUAGGGACGAAGGGUAAGAAUCAUAAUAAGGUUUUUAUUUGACGGUACCUAACGAGGAAGCCACGGCUAACUACGUGCCAGCAGCCGCGGUAAUACGUAGGCGGCAAGCGUUGUCCGGAAUUAUUGGGCGUAAAGGGAGCGCAGGCGGGAAACUAAGCGGAUCUUAAAAGUGCGGGGCUCAACCCCGUGAUGGGGUCCGAACUGGUUUUCUUGAGUGCAGGAGAGGAAAGCGGAAUUCCCAGUGUAGCGGUGAAAUGCGUAGAUAUUGGGAAGAACACCAGUGGCGAAGGCGGCUUUCUGGACUGUAACUGACGCUGAGGCUCGAAAGCUAGGGUAGCGAACGGGAUUAGAUACCCCGGUAGUCCUAGCCGUAAACGAUGGAUACUAGGUGUGGGAGGUAUCGACCCCUUCCGUGCCGGAGUU